rnacentral:rRNA from 1 species
AGGACGAACGCUGGCGGCGUGCCUAAUACAUGCAAGUCGAACGGUCUUUCUAUGGAAGCUUGCUUCCACUGAGAAGAUAGUGGCGAACGGGUGAGUAACACGUGGGUAACCUGCCCAUAAGAGGGGGAUAACAUCCGGAAACGGGUGCUAAUACCGCAUAGUUUUCUUGAUCGCAUGAUCGGGAAAGGAAAGACGGCCUUUGUGCUGUCGCUUAUGGAUGGACCCGCGGCGUAUUAGUUAGUUGGUGAGGUAACGGCUCACCAAGACGAUGAUACGUAGCCGACCUGAGAGGGUGAUCGGCCACAUUGGGACUGAGACACGGCCCAAACUCCUACGGGAGGCAGCAGUAGGGAAUCUUCCGCAAUGGACGAAGUCUGACGGAGCAACGCCGCGUGAGUGAAGAAGGGUUUUUCGGAUACGUAAAACUCUGUUGUCAGAGAAGAACAAGUUGGAGAGUAACUGCUCCAGCCUUGACGGUAUCUGACCAGAAAGCCACGGCUAACUACGUGCCAGCAGCCGC